rnacentral:tRNA from 1 species
GCCAGGGUAGCUCAGCUGGUUAGAGCGGCGGUUUCGUAAACCGCAGGUCGAGGGUUCGAUUCCCUUCCCUGGCU